rnacentral:rRNA from 1 species
AGAGUUUGAUCCUGGCUCAGGACGAACGCUGGCGGCGUGCUUAACACAUGCAAGUCACGGGGGGCCCGCAAGGGUCAACCGGCGAACGGGUGCGUAACACGUGAGCGACCUGCCCAGUUGCGGGGGAUAGCCGGCCCAACGGCCGGGUAAUACCGCAUACGCUUCUCUGGGGGCAUACCUGGGGAAGGAAACCUACGGGGCGAUUGGAGGGGCUCGCGGCCUAUCAGCUAGUUGGCGAGGUAACGGCUCACCAAGGCGAUGACGGGUAGCUGGUCUGAGAGGAUGGCCAGCCACAUUGGGACUGAGAGACGGCCCAGACUCCUACGGGAGGCAGCAGUGGGGAAUCUUGCGCAAUGGCCGAAAGGCUGACGCAGCGACGCCGCGUGGAGGAUGACGCCCUUCGGGGUGUAAACUCCUGUUGCCCGGGACGAAUGCCCCUUUUGAGGGGAGUGACGGUACCGGGUGAGGAAGCACCGGCUAACUCUGUGCCAGCAGCCGCGGUAAUACAGAGGGUGCGAGCGUUGUCCGGAAUCACUGGGCGUAAAGGGCGCGUAGGCGGCUCGGUAAGCGUGUGGUGAAAGCCCGGGGCUCAACCCCGGGUCGGCCAUGCGAACUGUCGAGCUGGAGCACGGUAGAGGCACAUGGAAUUCCGGGUGUAGCGGUGGAAUGCGUAGAGAUCCGGAAGAACACCGGUGGCGAAGGCGGUGUGCUGGGCCGUAGCUGACGCUGAGGCGCGACAGCGUGGGGAGCAAACAGGAUUAGAUACCCUGGUAGUCC